CGCGUAGGUGGUUUGGUAAGUCGGAUGUGAAAGCCCCGGGCUUAACCUGGGAAUUGCAUUCGAUACUGCUUGACUAGAGUAUGGUAGAGGGAAGUGGAAUUCCAGGUGUAGCGGUGAAAUGCGUAGAUAUCUGGAGGAACAUCAGUGGCGAAGGCGACUUCCUGGACCAAUACUGACGCUGAGGUGCGAAAGCGUGGGGAGCAAACA
rnacentral:rRNA from 1 species